GCUCGAUGCACUCCUGCAGCUCAACUGUCGUCUGCUGCUGAGGAACCUCCAUACUGGCGUGCUUCACAUACUUCUGCACAGGAAGAGGAACAAGACAGAGGAGCAGAGGAUGUUACAACCUGAUUCACAGGGAUGAGGACUGCAGACUGACAGAAUGCUGCUCAGCUAACAACCUAGCACUGAACAUCUCCAAAACAAAGGAAAUAAUAAUUAGCUUCAGAAAACAGAACGAAGAACCUACUCCCUUACACAUCAGAGAAGGCAUCGUGGAGAGAGUCUUCCUUUAAAUUCCUUGGCACAAACAUCUCCCAGGACCUCACAUAGACUCUAGACACCACUGCACAGAGGCAGCUUUGACAUGCUCCUGACCAGAAUGUUUUUUUACCCACCUUUUACCCAAGUGCAAUUAAACGACACUGUAAGAUAUGUGCCGUAACAUCUGAGGAUAGGAUCCUGUAUAUGUGCUACAUACCCUGAUAUGUGCAAUAUUGCAUGACUAUUUGCAAAUGUUUAUCUUACUCUGAUUUAAU